rnacentral:rRNA from 1 species
UCGAGGGGCAGCGAGAGUGAUAGCAAUAUUACUUGUCGGCGACCGGCGCACGGGUGCGUAACGCGUAUGCAACCUACCAUCAACAGGGGGAUAACACUGAGAAAUUGGUACUAAUACCCCAUAAUAUCUCAUGCGGCAUCGCAUGGGGUUGAAAACUCCGGUGGUUGAUGAUGGGCAUGCGUUGUAUUAGCUGGUUGGUGAGGUAACGGCUCACCAAGGCGACGAUACAUAGGGGGACUGAGAGGUUAACCCCCCACAUUGGUACUGAGACACGGACCAAACUCCUACGGGAGGCAGCAGUGAGGAAUAUUGGUCAAUGGACGCAAGUCUGAACCAGCCAUGCCGCGUGCAGGAUGACGGCUCUAUGAGUUGUAAACUGCUUUUGUACGAGGGUAAACCCCGAUACGUGUAUCGGGUUGAAAGUAUCGUACGAAUAAGGAUCGGCUAACUCCGUGCCAGCAGCCGCGGUAAUACGGAGGAUCCGAGCGUUAUCCGGAUUUAUUGGGUUUAAAGGGUGCGUAGGCGGUUUGAUAAGUUAGAGGUGAAGUGUCGGGGCUCAACCCCGAAACUGCCUCUAAUACUGUUGGACUAGAGAAUAGUUGCGGUAGGCGGAAUGUAUGGUGUAGCGGUGAAAUGCUUAGAGAUCAUACAGAACACCGAUUGCGAAGGCAGCUUACCAAACUAUAUCUGACGUUGAGGCACGAAAGCGUGGGUAGCAAACAGGAUUAGAUACCCUGGUAGUCCACGCAGUAAACGAUGA